rnacentral:rRNA from 1 species
AUGCUGCGGUGAAUACGUUCCCGGGUCUUGUACACACCGCCCGUCACACCAUGGGAGUCGGAAAUGCCCGAAGUCGGUGACCCAACCGGAAGGAGGGAGCCGCCGAAGGCAGGUCUGAUAACUGGGUGAAGUCGUAACAAGGUACC